rnacentral:lncRNA from 1 species
GGCGUGUCUAACAAUCAACAACAUUUCAGGUGGGAUGCACUAGCCUGAGUCUUUUUUCUGGAUCUGAAAAUUAGGAAACCAAUUUCGCAAGCUUCCUUCUCAGAGUUAGUAGCUGUUCUUUGAGAGUUUCUGAUGCUGAAUGUGACUCUUGCAUAUGCAUUAAACCAAAAGGGAGCGGCUUGGCCAGGUACGUGUUAGGGUUUUCCCACUGCAAGUCUUGCACCAGCAUCCCAUUGAGAGCUGGCAUCCUUGGAAAUAAGGGGCCCCAAACAGGUUUGGACUUUGGUUUGUUAUGAUUAGUUUGGCACAUGCAUUUUUCAGACAGCUGCAGGUUUCUGAUUUUCAGCUUUUCCUUUGAAACAAUUACAGGCGUCUAAGAAGUUAGAAAAAUAAUAUGGAGAGGGCUCUGGAGCAUCCAUCCUGGAAGGAGGAUGAUGAUGGAUCAAGAUAAAUUAGACAGGGAGCUGAGGGAUGCAGUUUGGGAAAACCCAGCUUUCCCCCUAUGGGACACCCCAGUUCACGUAACUCUGCCACUGCUUUGGGGUUUUUUAAAAUGGAUCGUCUUGUUCUCUUCCCCUGACCUCUUGGGGGUAGGAAUAAGGAGGAAAAAGUAGCUUUGUCAUACUGUGCCACCAGCCCCCUCACUUUAGGACCACAGUUCCUGGUCGUAGGAGGUGAGACAGAGGCGGCGAUGUUAUGGCGGGAGUCCUGGAUGGAUUGUCGCAUCAUAGAGGAAGUGAUCAGGUUAAAUUAAUUUGCGACCAAAGACUCUCCAACAAAGGAACUCCUCAGCGAUUUGUUUUUGUGUCAGCGCCAGGCGUCUCUUUAAAGAAUUCAUUUUAAAGUGACUUAAAAUGCCCUACAAAACUUUUGAACGAGAGCAGCCUGGAGUUCAAGAAUCACAGAGUCAGAAGGGACUUAAGGUCAGCCACCCAUUGGAUAAGAGUGACUUCCCCAUGACCAACUGCGCCAGGUUCCUACUCCAGCUCUUCUUUAAGGCCUUCCUCUCAAAGGACUUGGUGAUAGGACUUUUCUCACCCACACAUCAGACAACAGACAGCUACCUCCAUGCUUUCUCUGCUUCCUUCUGCUUCAGUCAGUCUUGAUCCUUUAAGCCUAGAGCCAUUUUUUGAUAGCUUGGCUACAUCCCGGAGAGCGGAUCAUGCUGGAUCAGAGAAAUUAGACAGGGAGCUGAGGGAUGCAUUUUUGGAAAACCAAUGACAAAGCGGAUUUGGUACCAGAUUGGAAACAAAAGCUCACUCUUAAAAUCAUGCUUUUCAGACGAAACAGUGCCCUUCUUUUCUGGGUUCCCUUUCUCAUUUCUUUCUUUUUUUUUUUUUUUUUCCUGGGAACCUCCAUAUGCCAAGGGAGCGGCCCUAGGAAAGGCAAACAAAGACAAAAAAAAAAAGUUGUCUAUGACAGCUUUAUUCUCACCGAGAAUAAAGGCACGCAGCCUUCCCAUCGGAGUGCCCUCUUGAGAGGCUGCAUGCAUGUCUGCGCGAUUGUUUUCAUAAACUCAGAAUUUAGCUGCCAGCACUCAGGGCUCCCAUCGUGUGUAACCCGGUCUCUGCCCAGGAUCCGCCACGUUGUUCUCUCUCCCACUUGUCAAUAAAAGCCAAAGAUUUCUCUCACAGAAGCUCCGCAGUAAUUCCUGGGUCUGCAAGUCAUGUGCCCAAGGAAACUUUUUAAGUGGGGAAAAGGGUAGAAAUCCAGUUCAAACUCUUACGAGUUUUGGCGGAGGAGUCUAUGGACGAACAAAAGCUCCCUGGCAUCUUCUGGCAGACAUGUGAGAGAAGGCAGUGAUUGGAAUUAAUUUUUAGUGAGGGCUGCAUAUUUGAUAAUUGGUCUGAUUCACGCUAUUAUAUUCCUCUUCCUUCACCCACAGCAAAACAAGCUUAAUUUGAUUCAUCCCCUUAGGAAGAAAAAAAAAAAAAAA